GGAAAUACUUUAAGUUGACCAUCAACUAUUACCUGAGGAGGGUCUAAUGAAGCCACUGUCUUCUCUCCCAGUUUCCGCAUCAAGAGACUGACAUGGAAAACAGGGUGUAUUUGAGCAGUUUCUGGGAAGUUUGCGAUAUGGUUGCAGUUUCAGAUUGGGGUACUUGGUUGAUGCUGUUGGUUACUGUUUUUUGAACUUGGGGUCAAAGAAUCAUCCUCGAGAAGAGUUUGUGCAGUGAU